rnacentral:rRNA from 1 species
CCAGGAUAGCUGGAACUCAUGAUAGUUUUAUCAGGUAAAGCGAAUGAUUAGAAGUUUUGGGGAUGAAACAUCCUCGGCUUAUUCUCAAACUUUAAAUAGGUAAGAUUAUUCAUUUACUUUAGUGAAUUGAGUAAUCGAAUAAAGAGUUCUUAGUGGGCCAUUUUUGGUAAGCAGAACUGGCGAUGUGGGAUGAACCAGACGUUGAGAUAAAGUGCCAAAGAUUUCGCUCAUCAGACACCAUAAAAAGGUGUUAAUUCAUAUCGACAGUAGGACGGUGGCCAUGGAAGUCGGAAUCCGCUAAGGAGUGUGUAACAACUCACCUACCGAAUGAAUUAGCCCUGAAAAUGGAUGGCGCUUAAGCGAUACACUUAUACUCAACCCCAUAAAAAAAUUUAGUGCAGUUUUUAUGGAGUAGGAGGGCGUAAAGAUUGAUUAGAAGCUUACUGUGAAGUAUAGUGAAUCUUUCUUUAGUUGCAGAUCUUGGUGGUAGUAGCAAAUAUUCAAUAGAGAACAUUGAAGACUGAAGUAGG